CCAUCCCAACCGACCCUCUUGGUAGUUCCACCACCCUUAGAAGUGUGGGGAACAGUGGUCCAGUAGAGGGCUUGCUCUGUGAGAGCACCUAAAUUGUGGAACUUCCCACAAAGGAAGGGUGAAGAACCUUUGUUGUUAUAGCUUUAGCUGUUUGCUGAAGACACACCUCUGUAACUGACCUUGACAGAGCCCUUGGAUAGUAACAGGAUCUGAUACUGAGCUCAGAGUUGCCAGAGGAACCAAGUGGAAGAAAAGAAGGAUUGGCUACACAUUUGAUCCAGAUAUUUUGGGUGAAGACUAAGAAGGCUAAAGGCUAUAACAGCAAACAGAAAUGCUUUAGUGUUGACCAAGAGGAUGAAUAGGAAGGACCUGUGCCACUUGUUGUUGUGGAUUGUAAUAUAAUAAGCUAUCAUCGUAAAACAAUGGAAUGCAGUCAUCUACCAGCUGAACAAAGACUUCUGGCAAACAAAAUCUAUGAAGUCAAUGGACUCUUACUGGUUUCAUCAAAUUUUGGAUCAGUUCCUGCUGGGAUAACAGAACC